GUGGGGAAUCUUCCACAAUGGACGAAAGUCUGAUGGAGCAACGCCGCGUGAGUGAAGAAGGGUUUCGGCUCGUAAAGCUCUGUUGUCGGGGACGAACGUGAGAUGCUUGAAUAAAGUGUCUUAAUGACGGUACCUGACGAGGAAGCCACGGCUAACUACGUGCCAGCAGCCGCGGUAAUACGUAGGUGGCAAGCGUUGUCCGGAAUUAUUGGGCGUAAAGGGAGCGCAGGCGGGAAGGUAAGUCGGUCUUAAAAGUGCGGGGCUCAACCCCGUGAUGGGAUCGAAACUAUCUUUCUUGAGUGCAGGAGAGGAAAGUGGAAUUCCUAGUGUAGCGGUGAAAUGCGUAGAUAUUAGGAGGAACACCAGUGGCGAAGGCGACUUUCUGGACUGUAACUGACGCUGAGGCUCGAAAGCCAGGGGAGCGAACGGGAUUAGAAACCCCUGUAGUCC
rnacentral:rRNA from 1 species